CGAAGGGGGCAAGCGUUGCUCGGAUUUACUGGGCGUACAGGGAGCGUAGGCGGUUGGAUAAGCCCUCCGUGAAAUCUCCAGGCUUAACCUGGAAAGUGCAGAGGGGACUGUUCAGCUAGAGGAUGGGAGAGGAGCGCGGAAUUCCCGGUGUAGCGGUGAAAUGCGUAGAGAUCGGGGGGAAGGCCGGUGGCGAAGGCGGCGCUCUGGAACAUUUCUGACGCUGAGGCUCGAAAGCGUGGGGAGCAAACAGGAUUAGAUACCCUGGUAGUCCACGCCUUAAACGAUGGAUACUAAGUGUCGGCGGGUUACCGCCGGUGCCGCAGCUAACGCAGUAAGUAUCCCGCCUGGGAAGUACGGCCGCAAGGUUG
rnacentral:rRNA from 1 species